rnacentral:rRNA from 1 species
GACGAACGCUGGCGGCGUGCCUAAUACAUGCAAGUAGAACGCUGAAGGAGGACCUUGCUCUUCUGGAUGAGUUGCGAACGGGUGAGUAACGCGUAAGUAACCUGCCUUGUAGCGGGGGAUAACUAUUGGAAACGAUAGCUAAUACCGCAUAACAGUAGAUGUUGCAUGACAUUUACUUAAAAGUUUCAAUUGCAUCACUACCAGAUGGACCUGCGUUGUAUUAGCGAGUUGGUGGGGUAACGCCGCACCAAGGCGACGAGACAUAGCCGACCUGAGAGGGUGAGCCGCCACCCUGAGACUGAGACACGGCCCAGAGGGCUACGGGAGGCAGCAGGAGGGCAUCUUCGGCAAUGGACGGAAGUCUGACCGAGCAACGCCGCGGGAGUGAGGAGGGUUUUCGGGUCGUAGAGGUCGGUUGUCAGAGAAGAACGAGUGUGAGAGUGGAAAGUUGACACUGUGACGGUAUCUGAGAAGAAAGGAACGGCUAACUACGUG